rnacentral:rRNA from 1 species
AAUGAACGUUGGCGGCGUGGAUUAGGCAUGCAAGUCGAGCGAGAACCCCGCAAGGGGGGACAGCGGCGCAAGGGACAGUAAUGUGUAGAUCAUCUGCCCUCAGGUCCGGGAUAGCUGCGCGAAACUGCAGGUAAUACCGGAUAACAUCUCAGGAUCAAAGGUGUGAUACCGCCUGAGGAUGAGUCUCGAUCGUAUUAGCUAGUUGGCAGGGUAACGGCCUACCAAGGCAUUGAUGGGUAGCGGGUGUGAGAGUACGACCCGCGUCAUUGGGAUUGAGACACUGCCCAGACACCUACGGGUGGCUGCAGUCGAGAAUCUUCGGCAAUGGGCGCAAGCAUGACCGAGCGACGCCUCGUGUGGGAUGAAGGCCUUCGGGUUGUAAACCACUGUCAGAGGGGAUGAAAUGCAGGUGGGUUCUCCCAUCUGUUUGACAUAGCCUCAGAGGAAGGACGGGCUAAGUUCGUGCCAGCCGCCGCCGUAAAAC